AUUUCACAUUCAAAACAGGAGCAUCAAGGACCAGGGUUUUUUGUUUGUUUUUUUUCUUAACAAGCACCGAGAUGUAAUAAUAAUAAUAAUAAUAAAUAAUUUUAAAAUGUUUUCCAACUUCACAUUCCGUCUUCAACUCCAGACUUCAGAGCCAUCCUGAUCACUAUACGGAAAUUUGUUGGGAGUAAAGAGUGCACAUCACGCCAUACGUUGUUUGGAUAGCAACACUUAAAACUGCAUGGAAGGAACGAGGCUGAAGUGAGCCUGGAGUCCUGCAGCCAAUCAUCAUUAUGGAAAUACGCUUUUAAGCCUUCUCAUUGGCUGAUACUCAGGCCAGUAUAUUCAGUUAGCAGCAAUACAGCCGAGUCUGCACACCGACCUCAGCUUGGUUUAUGCCUUUUGUGGAGGAGAGAGUCAGGUCAUCGUAUUUUUCACAUUCCCUGCUCCACAAAGCAUUCUUUGUAAACAAGCAGUUAACCAUGGAGAA